rnacentral:rRNA from 1 species
AUUGAACGCUGGCGGCAGGCCUAACACAUGCAAGUCGAACGCGUGGCGGACGGGAGAGUAAUGUCUGGGAAACUGCCUGAUGGAGGGGGAUAACUACGGGAAACGGUAGAUAAUACCGCAUAACAGCAGAUGUGCCCAGAUGGGAUUAGCUAGGUGGUGGGGUAACGGCUCACCAAGGCGACGAUCCCUAGCUGGUCUGAGGGGAUGACCAGCCACACUGGAACUGAGACACGGCCCAGACUCCUACGGGAGGCAGCAGUGGGGAAUAUUGCACAAUGGGCGCAAGCCUGAUACAGCCAUGCCGCGUGUAUGAAGAAGGCCUUCGGGUUGUAAAGUACUUUCAGCGGGGAGGCGUUACCCGCAGAAGAAGCACCGGCUAACUCCGUGCCAGCAGCCGCGGUAAUAC